CCCUGCCUUAGAGGUUUCACCAGAGCACAGCUCCUGCCUGUGGCCAAAACAGUAUUUGGCCACUCACCGACCCAGUGUCAGCAUCCAGAUGGGUUCCACAUCUCACAACCCUGAGCAGCAGAGAAGGGUUUGAAAGGCCAGGGGAGAAUGAAGACGAAGGAGGUGUUGGCAACAACACAGAGAGUCAGCAGCCAGAACGCCAGGAGAACUGAAAUGAGAUGAUCUCUAAAGCCCUGCCAUUUCUAAGAUGUUAGAAACCACAUUAGUUCAUCAGUUCUGUGGAGAACUUUCCAACUAGGAACCAGCUGGAUGACUUCCUAUGGGUCUUCUGUACUUCACUGCAUAAGCUAUUUAUGCUUUGUGACCAGUUAAGAAUUGGAAUAUCAUCAAUUUUCUUAAAAGGGGUGGUGACCAGCGAGUUCAAGUGGUCUGAAUUAGGGAUGGAUCUAAGAAGGAAAAUGAUCUCAGGACCAUGUGAAUUGCAAGAAGAGUGAAGAGUGGAAUGGUAAAUAUGAAGAAAAGCCAAGUAAACAUAUUUAUAUAAAAUAGAAGUAGUAUAUGUGAUUGAAGAUAAGAGGACAUAACUGACUCCAAGACAGCUGGGAUUUAGGACACAGAGUACUACCAAGGAGCCCUGAGAACCUGUGUAAGAAAAUCUUUUUUCAUUUUUUAUUUUUCUUUCUGGGCCAGGUCCUAAGUUGUGUAUGCAGAGGGUGGCACUCCCGAAGGCCCAGCAGAGAACAAACUCUGGAAGGCUGUAGACACGGGCAGGGAUUUCAGAGGAUACCCAGGGCAGGAAGGCAAUGGCAUUCAGACCCAGUGAGAGUGGAGAGUCGUGGUGGGUGACUGUGAUUCCCACUAAGACCCUGGAAAGGCCAUGCACUAGCAAUGAUGACCACAUGCUGGGGCUCCCUAAGAGGGAGGGCAAGGCUGAAAUAGACCCUAGCAAGUCCUACAUUCAACCCUCCCAGAAUAAAACCCAAUACAUUUCCAAGAAAUAACAUAAUGCAGAGCCUCAAGCCUAUAUUGUCCACAAUGCUUCACAUCAACCCUUUCUAAUCUUUCAUGUAGGAUAUUUAGAAGUCUCCUAAUCAUUCAUGCCACCCAAAAAUCUAUCUCCUUUCUGAUCCAUACUACUACCAGUGUUCCUCUACCAAAAUAUCAGUUUCAUCAUGUUGUUUCACUUGGAGUAGGACCAAUGGCUCACCACUGCCUAGAGAUUUGUGUCCA
rnacentral:lncRNA from 1 species